rnacentral:sRNA from 5 species
UUGCUAUCUGCGAUAUGGAAGAUUCGAACCUGCCGCAGGUUCGGGUCUCAUGUAGUGAGACAACGGAGCCGCUUGCGGCGACGGCCCGAAGGGCGAGCAAAGCGAGUCAUCCUGCACGACCCACCA